rnacentral:misc_RNA from 1 species
GCUCCGUUGGUGAACCAGCGGGGGGAUCAUUACUGAGUUACCGCUCUACAACCCUUUGUGAACAUACCUAACUGUUGCUUCGGCGGGCAGAGGUCCCUCGCGGAUCUCUCCCGGCAACGCCCUCACGGGCGGAGCGCCCGCCGGAGGAUACCAAACUCUAUUUUAACGACGUUUCUUCUGAGUGGCACAAGCAAAUAAUUAAAACUUUUAACAACGGAUCUCAUGGUUCUGGCAUCGAUGAAGACGCAGC